CGAAGUCGUUGUAACUCGGUAUGAGAUUCAAAAAGUUCCCGCUCGGGCGCUGCAAACGUUACCAAUGCGACGGCGAGGAAAGGAACUAUAUUACUUUAAGACUCCAUCUACAAAUCGGUCCAGCGACCGCAGUAAAUAAAAGAUUGUCGAGAAGCGUGCCAACCGCGGUAUUCCUGGUAACGUGUUCCGACGACACUCCCGAUAUUUUUAAACUGGGCCCCGUUAGCGAACAAAAUUGUACGAGGCCGGGAUUUAAAGGAACGUUGGAUAAACCAUUUUCUAGCAGUAUACAAAAAAAUGGCUCUGACCUAUCCUCACUCGUCACUUCUACAUUGCCAUAUGCUCUUCUAAUUAUGUCUAUCCAUCGAAUAUCUACGUUUAUCAAAAGAAAUGGUUUUCCGUGAGGUCAACCGAAUUUUGCAAAGGGGGGCAAUGGGGUAAAAAUGUUUUAAAAAAGUGACCCCAUUCUUGGUGAAGCAGCUCGAGGCCGUGGGGAAUGAAAGGUACGCCUCGAUUUUGUUUCUUAUCCGCGCUUCAAGAAGAGCGCGAAGAUCAAACCUGAAUGACAAUCAUGAACAUCAUGUCCUGAAACGAAUUGGUAACAAGAGCAGGAUGUGUUAUUCAUAAUAGCGGCCAAAUGAGUUAAAUAUAUUUAUAAAAUAUAAUAUAUAAAUAAAUCAAUCAAAAUUAAUUUAA